GACGAACCGUGCGAACGUUAUUCGGAAUCACUGGGCUUAAAGCGCGUGUAGGCGGGACGGCACGUCUGUCGCUGAAAUCCCCCGGCUUAACCGGGGAACUGGCGUAGAUACGACCGUCCUGGAGGGGCGUAGGGGGACCUGGAACUUCCGGUGGAGCGGUGAAAUGCGUAGAGAUGUGGAGGAACACCGAUGGCGAAGGCAGCUCGCUGGAACGGUACUGACGCUGAGGCGCGAAAGCGUGGGGAGCAAACAGGG
rnacentral:rRNA from 1 species